rnacentral:rRNA from 1 species
GAUGAACGCUGGCGGCGUGCUUAACACAUGCAAGUCGAACGGAAAGGCCCAAGCUUGCUUGGGUACUCGAGUGGCGAACGGGUGAGUAACACGUGGGUGAUCUGCCCUGCACUUCGGGAUAAGCCUGGGAAACUGGGUCUACUACCGGAUAGGACCACUUCUUGGAUGUUGUGGUGGAAAGUUUUUUCGGUGUGGGAUGAGCUCGCGGCCUAUCAGCUUGUUGGGGGGGUAAUGGCCUACCAAGGCGUCGACGGGUAGCCGGCCUGAGAGGGUGUACGGCCACAUUGGGACUGAGAGACGGCCCAGACUCCGACGGGAGGCAGCAGGGGGGAAGAUUGCACAAUGGGCGCAAGCCUGAUGCAGCGACGCCGCGGGGGGGAUGACGGCCUUCGGGUUGUAAACUCCUUUCGCUAGGGACGAAGCGUUUUGUGACGGUACCUGGAGAAGAAGCACCGGCUAACUACGUG